AUUUAAAUCCAAAAUAGCGUGUUUUUGAGUAACGUAGGAUCCUAGAAGUUUUUUCCAAGUGUCGUUGCCCUCUUCACUUAUACACACCCACCCACACCAGCAUAAACCCUCUCUGAUUUCCCUCCCCCAAAGCCUCCGUACGAAACCCCAAAGAUCAAAAUCAGCUUCCACAAAAAUCACUCACCUACUCAGGUAGCUAACCCUCUCAGUCCGAUGUGCAAUAGAAAACAAUGGUCUAUUCGUCUUCGCAACUACAUCGCCUUCAACUACUUGAACCGAGAGGCCCAGAACCUUGAAGAAGAUCUCCAAACUCUCAAGCAUUAUCGCUCCGACAUUGAACGCCAAUCGAAGUAGGGAAACUUUUUCUUUAAGUCUCUCAAAAACUUUGCCUCUGCCCUCAAUCGAGUCUCUCAUGGCCUACACGGAGGAGUACCAGACGGUCCUCGUGGAUGGCUUAUGCCAAACUCUCGAAUCUCUCUGAAGGAUUUCAAAGUAGCCAUUUCAGAGCCCUUUCACGUAUCCGCUCCUUCUCUUCUUUAGCCAUUACAACCACCACCAGUAUUAACCCUAACCCUAACCUUACUGAUACGAAUUCGGUAUUGGGUAAUUGAAAUUCCACACGUUUUUGCUAUUUUCUGCAUGGAUUUGCAAUUUCCUGUGUGUUAUACAUAUUUUUUCUGGUUUGCAUAUUGCUGGAAGAUGAAAAUUUUCUGGUAAUUGAAAUUCCACCUGUUAAUGGAUUUGCAUAUUGCUGCCAUUUCUUGUUUUCUGAAAUCUGAUAAGCUUUAUUAGAUUAAUGAAAUUGAUUUAUAUUCCUCUGCUCUUCUAUAGAGAGUUUUUUGUUUUGUAUGUGUUUUUUUAUUUUUUGGACGAACUCUUCUAUUGGGUUUGAUGUGCGUUUAUUCAUAUAGAGUUCCUACCUCAAUUAUAAGAAAAGUCUAGUUGUAGUCCUAGCGGGAUCAAAAUCUUCAAAUAUAUAGUUUGCAUUGCUUUGUUAUUUAGUUAUUCUUGUAUGAAUUGUGGAACUGUUUCAUUGUUGGCGAGGAAAAUAUGUACAGAUAUAUAUAUAUGUGUGUGUGUGUGUGUGUGUAUGGAGAACAUUGUCAAGCAUGCACUUUUCAAACUUUUAUUCAUUUGGUCUUCUUGAAAUAAUGGGAGUAAGCUAAGAUUGAAUUGAUUUAAGAUAUUUUAUCUAUCUAUCUGUCUAUCUAUCUAUAUAUAUAUAUAUAGAGUCUAGCUGCAGAAGCAGUUUUAUUUGAAAAUAUGUAUAUAUAAAUAGGAAAUUGAAAUUGAAAUGUGGUAUUGGCCAAGGUAUAUAGGCAUAAAAUAUAUAAUAAUGCAGGUGAGGUGUGGAUGUGAUGGAGGAACUGCAUGAGCAUUGACGGCCAAAGGAUUAAACACACAAGGCAGUAGUGAAAAAGGUUUCAAGUCAUGGAUGCCUAAUAGGUCUUUCUGGUGAAAACAAGUACUGCUUCCAGUGGGGCAGCUGUUUAAUGCGAUUUGAAUGAACUUUUCAUUCCUGGUUUUAAUAUUUUUUUUUUUCAGAGAAACUACUUUAGUUAUAUUUCUACUAAGUCCUGCAUAUUUAUAAAUUAUAGACAAUUUGUGUUUCACUUUAUCGAAUUGUUCUAUUUCUUUAUUGUUAUGCUGUAUCAGCCAAUCAACUUGACUUGGUGAAGCUGGCAGUGAUUGGUAGGUGAAGCUAGCAAUGUACAGAUUCUAAGUGAAGAGGUUUUUGAUUUCUCAAGGGAGAAGAUGACUUAAAAUAAGAUUAAGGAGCUCAAACAAUUAUUGAACAGAUGGCUAAUGUGGCUGCAUGGCCACAUUCAGUAAGGGUUACACCCUGGUAUAAGUGGAACGAAUGAUGAGUGCAUAGUCCUUGGUCCAAGAUCAGCUGCUACUUCCACCUGAUCUUUGUUGGGAGUGCAUUUCUCUUAGGUAUUAUUUCAGACUUUUGGUGGCGGUUUGUUUCCCGUUAAUUAUUUGGUUGUUAGUUUAUUAGAUGUAACUGAAUAUGAGUGUUUAGUUAUUGGCAAAAUUGCAUGGGAUGUACAGCACGAUACUACGUCAUUUGGCGUUGCAUCUGUUGUUGGAGAUAAGCCAUCACAAAAUAGUAUUGAAAGAGAUAAGGGUGUUCCACUUACAACCAGUGAAAGAAGUACGAAACAAAAAUGUUCUUCCGUGGAAAAGAAGAUGAAAAAAGGGAGGUGAAUAGAAGAUAAGCUUGUGGACCAUGGUGAUUAUGGUAAUUAUCCUUCACUAUCGACUAUAAGAGUUGGUGUUCAUGCUCGUGUUAAUCCAUUGAUUCCAUCCCAACCUUCAUCCUAUGUGGAGUUUGUAUAAUUGUAUGAAUAUUCUUCCUUUUUAUUAGUGUAAGUACUAAAAAUUAUUGUUUUGCUUUGGUAUCUUUGAGAGAGAUUAACUGUCAUUGAAGGUGAAAUGAUUAGUGUACGCCAAGAUGUUAAGGAGUUAAGAAUCUUGAUGUUUAGGGAGUUUGUAAUGUUGAAGACCAAGCUUGAUAAGCUAAUGGAGCACUAAGGAAUGGGAGUUCAUAUUGUUGUUUAUUUUGGACUCAAAUAUUUUUACAUUAAACGUGUUUCAUAAUAUAAUUGAUUGUGUUUAUUAUUUA